rnacentral:lncRNA from 12 species
CGUGUGCCAAGGAAGCACACCGGCUUAAAUGACAAAAGUUCAGAGCAGCAAAGGGAAGUUAUAUGAGAUUCAGGAAAGGAGAUCAGAGUUUCAGGAGGGAGAGGCUUAUAGAGAUCAUGUUUAAUGUGAAAAGGAUAAAAUUCAUAUGUACGAGACGUAGUCAAAGAAAGAGCACCAGUGAUAUCUGUAGUGGAAACCAUCAAAUUGCUGUGGAUGCAAAACACAACUUUCCACUCAUCCUUAUGGAAAAAUUUGACUACCUUUCAAUCAUAAGAAAAGUGACAUGGACUGAAGAAAACAACGUCAAGUUAUUUUCAGUUUUCUUUGGCAAGGCAGAUUGCAGCCACACCAACAGUGAACAGCUGGUCAGGAGAAGACACCCAAACUGAACAUCAUACCUUGCUUAUUUUUCUACCAUCCUUGUGGGAGAAAUAUAGAAAAGAAAGAAGUAUCUGUCAAGAACAGCCACAGUGAGCUGUGAGCACAUAUUAGUCAUCUGCAACAUCCCUUUUACAUGUGCAAAUACAGGUCAGAUUAUUAGACAUCUGCUCAAUGCUUUCUCAUCAGUAACCUAUUCUGCUAAAUAUAAAAUUAACAUAAAAUAUGUUUGAAGUGGAGCUGCUGGCACCUGUGCCAGGUACUAAUUUAGAGUCAUUAUUUGGUACUAAGCUUAGCACCAUUUUCUCCUUGCUCUAAUGAAUCAUCAGCAGUUAUAAAGGGUGAAAAUAAUGAGUUAUGCACAAAUGUCAAAAUAAAAGGAUAUCUUGGGAUAAACCCUAUAACCCUUCAGAUAACCAUAAUCAUGACUUAUGGGGAAAUAUCCUGGGAUGACUUUAUGAUGCUGAAUUUUAUCUCCAAUUGUCUGUUCUGCUUAUGCUGGACAUUGAGUUCUGUGCUUUUAAAACUAGAUCUGAGAGAGAAGGAGGGAGAAGGAAAAGUAGUGGAAUUUUUUCACGGCUGUCUUUAAAAUACAGAGAUAAGAGCUUCAGCUCUCUGUCCCUUGGUGUGCAUUGUCUGCAGCAUGGACAGGGAGAGAACUCUCCUUUUAGUCAGUUUUUUAACUAGCUGAGGCAGAGAAGCUCCCCAGACUGUGGGUUUCCUUUUUCUUUGAACUGUUCAGCCCUGCUCUGGAUUAAAAACCCAGAAAACAGCAGGAGUUCACACCUGCGGCCCGCCAGGGCCCAGGACAUGGUGUUCCAGCACUGGAGGGACUGAGAGACUCAGUGAGCUGAGAAACCCACGGAGGACCCUCUCUGAACUACAGGACUUUCUGAAUUUGCCAUCUCUUCAGAGCAGC